GACGAACGCUGGCGGCGUGCCUAAUACAUGCAAGUCGAACGCAGUGGGGACGGGUGAGUAACACGUGGGUAACCUCCCAUCAGAGGGGAUAACACUUGGCAACAGGUGCUAAACCGAUACUGAUGGAUCAACCAGCGGUGCAUUAGCUAGUUGGGGGGGUAACGGAUCACCAAGGCCACGAUGCAUAGUCGACCUGAGAGGGUGAGCGGCCACACUGGGACUGAGACACGGCCCAGACUCCGACGGGAGGCAGCAGUAGGGAAUCUUGGGCAAUGGACGAAAGUCUGACCCAGCAACGCCGCGUGAGUGAAGAAGGUUUUCGGAUCGUAAAACUCUGUUGUUAGAGAAGCGGUAUCUAACCAGAAAGCCACGGCUAACUACGUGCCAGCAGCCGCGGUAAUAC
rnacentral:rRNA from 1 species